ensembl:ncRNA Y73B6BL.276 ncRNA
UGUCUCCUUUCUCAUUUUUUGCUGCACCCCCCGUACUCACAAUUUUUUUGAAGGAAAACGUUUGUGAGUAAAACGUGGAGGUGUGCUAGUCAGUUCACUGGGGACCUGAAACCAACCGAACACCACUAUGCUUGAAGCUGUUUGUCAGC